rnacentral:lncRNA from 1 species
GAUUGAGAGUGGCGAACCAUUGGUUUUGGCGUGAUAGAUUAAAACGACACUGGACAUUAGGGACAUGAACUUUCAAGUUCAUAAAUAUAAUUCUAAAUAAACUGUAUGUAUUCAAUAGAAAAAGAUGUUACAUUGAUAUGUAGAAAACGUUUGGUCAAAUAAUUGAAUCAUAGCUGAAAACAAUAAUAUAAGACAAUGACUAGUUGCGAACCUACAAAAUGUUAUUGAUCAGUCCAAUAACAUAUAUCAUCUUGGUUUGUUCAUCUAUCAUUUUCAUCCUAUCCAUUUAGAUGAUUAUUCCAAAUAAUCUAUUUAGAUGAUUCAUCUAAAUAGUGUUUAAAAUCAUUUUUUCUUCCGGAUGGUUCAUCUAGAUAAAUUAUAUUUUGUUCGUUUGUUGAUCUCUAUUUCAAUAUAGAUGAGUUUAAUGAACAAAUGAUUAAUAAUUCUUGUUUUGAUUUAAUCUUAUUUUUGUUUUUUGCUAACUGUAUUAAAUUUAUUAUUUAUCUAAAUAUAGUUAUAACUA